CCUACGGGAGGCAGCAGUAGGGAAUCUUCCACAAUGGGCGAAAGCCUGAUGGAGCAACGCCGCGUGGGUGAAGAAGGUCUUCGGAUCGUAAAACCCUGUUGUUAGAGAAGAAAGUGCGUGAGAGUAACUGUUCACGUUUCGACGGUAUCUAACCAGAAAGCCACGGCUAACUACGUGCCAGCAGCCGCGGUAAUACGUAGGUGGCAAGCGUUAUCCGGAUUUAUUGGGCGUAAAGGGAACGCAGGCGGUCUUUUAAGUCUGAUGGGAAAGCCUUCGGCUUAACCGGCGUAGUGCAUUGGAAACUGGGAGACUUGAGUGUAGAAGAGGAGAGUGGAACUCCAUGUGUAGCGGUGAAAUGCGUAGAUAUAUGGAAGAACACCAGUGGCGAAGGCGGCUCUCUGGUCUGUAACUGACGCUGAGGUUCGAAAGCGUGGGUAGCAAACAGGAUUAGAUACCCGAGUAGUC
rnacentral:rRNA from 1 species